rnacentral:rRNA from 1 species
UGGGGAAUAUUGCACAAUGGAGGAAACUCUGAUGCAGCAACGCCGCGUGGAGGAUGACGCAUUUCGGUGUGUAAACUCCUUUUAUAAGGGAAGAUAAUGACGGUACCUUAUGAAUAAGCACCGGCUAACUCCGUGCCAGCAGCCGCGGUAAUACGGAGGGUGCAAGCGUUACUCGGAAUCACUGGGCGUAAAGGAUGCGUAGGCUGGAAAUCAAGUCGAGAGUGAAAUCCAACGGCUCAACCGUUGAACUGCUCUCGAAACUGGUUACCUAGAAUAUGGGAGAGGUAGAUGGAAUUGGUGGUGUAGGGGUAAAAUCCGUAGAUAUCACCAGGAAUACCGAUUGCGAAGGCGAUCUACUGGAACAUUAUUGACGCUGAGGCAUGAAAGCGUGGGGAGCAAA